AUUGCUCCAUCUAUGUAUUUAAGCCCUGUGUUUUCAUCAGUCCUUGUUGCGAUCUACCCUUAUCUUGCUGUGUGUUCUGUCUAUAAUGUGAAAUGUCCGCGGAAGGCUUCCAGCGGCGGCGGCCACUCCCUCCCUUUCUGAACGGCACGAAGCAUAGCCAUCGCUUCACCACAUCAGCAUAUUGGUGGUGACUUACGGAAGAGCACCCCCUGGAGCUGGGUCUCCAUCUCAUCCAGCUCCUUCAGGGUCCUCAGAGGGAGCUCCAUGUCCAGUGCCUCCACCUCCUCUUCGUCGUCGGCAGUCUGACCCUGCAGUCGGGCUUGGAUGUCCCUCAGCACCACCCACUGCUUCUGU